GGAGGACUCGCUGACCAUUCGAUGGUAGCCUCUUAGGCAGGUGGUCCUUAUGAGUUUGUCAGGCCCUUCGUGGUAGGAAAACGUCAUUGGUGUUAGGAGGUUCAGGAGGACUCGCUGACCAUUCGAUGGUAGCCUCUUCGGCAGGUGGUCCUUAUGAGUUUGUCAGGCCCUUCAUGGUAAGCAAACGUCAUUGGUGUUAGGAGGUUCGGGAGG
rnacentral:lncRNA from 1 species